UACGAGUGGUGCAAGCGUUAUUCGGAAUCAUUGGGCGUAAAGGGUGUGUAGGCGGUAUAUCAAGUCUGUUGUUAAAUCUCCCAGCCUAACUGGGAAAAUGCAGUGGAAACUGAUGUGCUAGAGGAAUGGAGGGGAGACUGGAAUACUUGGUGUAGCAGUGAAAUGCGUAGAUAUCAAGUGGAACACCAGUGGCGAAGGCGAGUCUCUGGACAUUUCCUGACGCUGAGGCACGAAACCCAGGGGAGCAAACGGG
rnacentral:rRNA from 1 species